AAAUGCAGAGCAGGAGGGAGACAUGUUUCUUCACUCUGUCCAGAAGAUUUGAGAGUCUUAGCCAUGAAAUUGAGACUCUCGCUGUCAAAAAUACCCAUCAACGUGGCAUUUUCAAGGAAAAAAGAGAAGGGAAUCCUGCAGAAGCUUGGUGGUCUAAGGCAUGAGAAGUCAACUAAAUAGACUGGACGAGGAGCCUUCAGGAUGGAAUGCUUAAUGAUGAUGAAGACAACAUAACAAGAAAGUAGGAGAAAGAUAUGACAAAUGGGAUUCCAUCCUUUUAGGAAAAUAUAAGUUUUAACGAAAAUUAUGGGAAUGAGAACGAAAAAGGUUUGAAGUUGGAAGAGAGUCCCGCGAAGAUGUGCCAAUAAUUGUUUGGAAUGGAGGAUAUUGUCGCCAUGGCUGAACUUAGGAGCAGAUUCCAUUGAUUGGUUAUGGAGCAGAGGUGCGGUGGAGAUGGAGAAAUGGGAAUCUGAAUGGCAUGCAGAAAACAUAAGGUAUGAUAUGUUAUCAUAAAUAGAACCAAGUCUCCCUGACCUUCUUCCGCCGCUGCAAACCAUCGCCUUCCUCCCCACAAAUUGGUUCCCUCGCUGGUAAGCUGUUUAUGUUUUUCUUUUGUUGUUGCAAGUCGUGUUAUUUUUGACACCUUCGCAAGAAUGAUCUUCUCUUAUGUUUUGUUUAAUACCCUCACAAGGAUGUUGAGAUUAUGUAGUAGCCCAUAUUCCUCUCUGCUCAACAGAUUGGUCUUUAACCAUAGAAAUCUUUUGUUUGAGGAUUUGGUUCUGGAAGUGUUGGAACUAAGUUCAAGGUAGAUUUCGAGUUGAUUUGAGUGGAGAUCUCUUGUUUGAGCGUUAGGUUGAUGGGCCUGAGAUGGGAUAAUGAUGGAUUACUUGGGCCCAUGGAUCCUUCUUGGACUCUCCGGAAAUGGGCCGGAUGCAUUCCCAGAUCAAACUAACACAUUUGGGCCCAGUACCCAUCCCAAUUUGCCAAACUUUGUCUCCUUUCUCAACUCGUUCUUUUGCUUCGAAGUACGCAAGUUCAUACCACAAUGCAGAGGAAGACUGGUUCCCAAAUCUAUGCAGAGUCAUCAAUGGCGCUUCCAAGUCUUUAUCGUUGAGCUUCAGCACUUUCCCGAUCGCCCUUAUCACUGUACCCCCUGAUACCGGCAAGCAAAAAUGAUUGAUCACUGUCUUGAAAUUGG